UUUUAUUAAAUGCUUGAUUGUGUAGGAUUCUAAGGUGCUUGGUAUAAAUAUCAAACACUAUCAGAAAUCCAGUCUCCAGAGGUGAGAUUUUGGUAUUUUUUCUCUCUCUCAUUCUUGAAACGGUAGAAGACGAACUGACCUGACCUCGACCUUUGACGUCAAACUGACCUAAACCUUCCUCGGAGAUUACGAGCCUCACCGAUUUCUACAAAGAGGUUGGUUCUUCAAGCUUCAAAUUUGUUGUUUCAAUUUACUUGUAAUUCAUAAAAUGAAUUGAACUGAAAUCUGGAUUCGAGGAGAUAGAGAGCCCAAACUUUUGGGAAUUCAAUUUGAUAUGGCUGAAUUUGCACUCAGUAGUUUCUAUGCACCUUAUUGAGAGGAACCAAAUUUACCAGCUUCCUGAAGAACCCUGAAACACCACAUCACCAGUUGCCGACUCGAGCCACCUUCCCAGAGGCCACCAUAUCUACUUCUCUGUCUCUAACGAAUUUUUUGUGCAAACACUCGAGGAAAAGGGAAUCCAAACUUUUCAGGUCACUUCCUAAUGGCAAGGAGCAUGUCUUUUUCUUUGAUCCAGGUAGAAGAACAAGCUAACUUCCAACUUUUCCAUAGUUGAAUGAAGUAGAUGGAUAUAAGGAGUUGCAUAAAAGUUGUGGGCAUUGAAAAUGAUAAGUCUUUCCUUCAUGAAAUUAGUCCUCCUUUCCUUUUACUUGCACAAGAGUUGGAAGUCAGCAUCCAUUUGUUCCUUCAUUCUAAUGAGUUUAAUAUCCAAUCCAACUUUGUGCAUCAUUGGAGCCACCAUAAAGAUUUAUAAAUAAUGGACUUUGUUAAUGUUUCCCUCAUCACCCAACCAUACUAUUAUUAAGGGAAGUCCUUGUCUAUUUUCAUAUAGGGAAGAGUACAACAUCUUUGUUGUUGAAGAUACUUUAAUGUGCAGGCAAUGGUUUGGAGGUUGCAGGUCAGUAAGCUCCAUGGCAACACAGAGGGUUGCUUGAAAUGGUAAAGGAGAUUUAAAUGAAGCAAACAAUCAGUACACUUUCGUAGACAAUAAGUUGCAACCUUCAUAUAUGCAGUUGUAGUGAUUCAGGUGUCAUUGUAUCUAUGAUGUUAAAUAUGUACACCUGUGUAUGCUUUGCUAAUAAGUUGAUAGCCAUCAUAGACAAAAUUUGUAGCAUGUGUCUCUCAAUUUGUUGUGACGACAAAUUAUAUAUGAACUCAUGGCUAGAGAAGAGAACAUUGUGUUUCCCUACUUUGUAUAAAACUUCAUUGGUUGAAUGCAUUGCCUUAUGCAAUAUGUUUGC